GAGAUGUGGGUAGUCCGUACGAGCGCACCUUGUCCUUAUUUGCCAUCAUUAAGUUGGGCACUCUAGGGAGACUGCCGGUGACAAACCGGAGGAAGGUGGGGACGACGUCAAGUCAUCAUGGCCCUUACGACCAGGGCUACACACGUGCUACAAUGGAGCGUACAAAGGGUCGCGACCUCGCGAGAGUGAGCUAAUCCCAUAAAACGUUUCGUAGUCCGGAUCGCAGUCUGCAACUCGACUGCGUGAAGUCGGAAUCGCUAGUAAUCGUGAAUCAGAAUGUCACGGUGAAUACGUUCCCGGGCCUUGUACACACCGCCCGUCACACCAUGGGAGUGGGUUGCAAAAGAAGUGGGUAGCAUAACCUUCGGGAGUGCGCUCACCACUUUGUGAUUCAUGACUGGGGUGAAGUCGUAACAAGGUAGCCGUAGGGGAACCUGCGGCUGGAUCACCUCCUU
rnacentral:rRNA from 1 species